rnacentral:lncRNA from 10 species
AUUGAUUGUGAAUGUUUUCUACUUUUACAACUUUUCCUAUGUUUAUAGAAAGACCUGUCCCAGAAACAUUCCUUUCAUUACAGAUAAAGAUAUUUCAACUCAACAGUCUUCUUUAUGGUAGUUUUUGCUGAAAGAAUCAAGAGUUCAGUGACAGAAGAAUGAGGGUCAGAGAAGCAUGAAGACAAAGGAGAAUGAGGGUCAUUUAUUCAAUAAAC